rnacentral:rRNA from 1 species
UACGUAGGUGGCAAGCGUUGUCCGGAUUUACUGGGCGUAAAGAGCGCGCAGGCGGUCAGAUAAGUCGAAUGUGAAAGCCCCCGGCUCAACUGGGGAGGGUCAUUCGAUACUGCUCGACUCGAAGGCAGGAGAGGGAAGCGGAAUUCCCGGUGUAGUGGUGAAAUGCGUAGAUAUCGGGAGGAACACCAGUGGCGAAGGCGGCUUCCUGGCCUGUUCUUGACGCUGAGGCGCGAAAGCUAGGGGAGCAAACGGG